AUUGAACGCUGGCGGCAUGCUUUAUACAUGCAAGUCGAACGGCAGCGGGGAGGAGCUUGCUUCUCUGCCGGCGAGUGGCGCACGGGUGAGUAAUACAUCGGAACGUGUCGAGAAGAGGGGGAUAACCACCCGAAAGGGUGGCUAAUACCGCAUAAAUUCUGAGGAAGAAAGCUGGGGACCUAGGAAUAGGCCUAGCGCUUUUUGAGCGGCCGAUGUCGGAUUAGCUAGUUGGUGAGGUAAAGGCUCACCAAGGCGAAGAUCUGUAGCGGGUCUGAGAGGAUGAUCCGCCACACUGGGACUGAGACACGGCCCAGACUCCUACGGGAGGCAGCAGUGGGGAAUUUUGGACAAUGGGGGCAACCCUGAUCCAGCCAUGCCGCGUGUAUGAAGAAGGCCUUAGGGUUGUAAAGUACUUUUGUUAGGGAAGAAAAGUCAGCUGUGAAUAAUGGCUGAUACUGACGGUACCUAAAGAAUAAGCACCGGCUAACUACGUG
rnacentral:rRNA from 1 species